ACCUACGGGGGGCAGCAGUGAGGAAUAUUGGUCAAUGGUCGGGAGACUGAACCAGCCAAGCCGCGUGAGGGAUGAAGGUACAGAGUAUCGUAAACCUCUUUUGUCAGGGAACAAAGGCGGGGACGUGUCCCCGGAUGAGUGUACCUGAAGAAAAAGCAUCGGCUAACUCCGUGCCAGCAGCCGCGGUAAUACAGAGGAUGCGAGCGUUAUCCGGAUUUAUUGGGGUUAAAGGGUGCGCAGGCGUCCUGUUAAGUCAGCGGUCAAAGCCCGGGGCUCCACCCCGGCCCGCCGU
rnacentral:rRNA from 1 species